AGUAAGUCAGAUGGUUGCGGGAGAAUUGUUUCUCACGAGGAAAGUCCGGGCUUCGCAGGGCAAGGGUGCCGGGUAACUCCCGGUGGAGGCGACUCUAAGGACAGUGCAACAGAAAUAGACUUCCUGCACAGCUUUUCAAAAGAAUUGAACCGCACUUUGUGCGUGCCUGUGCAGGUAAAGGUGGAAAGGCGAGGUAAGAGCUCACCGGCGCUGCGGCGACGCUGCGGCCAUGUAAACCCCAUCCGAAGCAACACCGUAUUGGCUUACGCAGGUUUAGCCGGCCCGGCAUGCCUGUGUUUGGCGGUGGCUUGAGCUGUGCAGUAAUGUACGGCCUAGACAGAUAAUCAUCGAAUACAGAACCCGGCUUACAGAUUUGCUCAA
rnacentral:RNase_P_RNA from 1 species